rnacentral:tRNA from 1 species
CACUCAGUGGCCGAAUUGUAAGUGUAGGUCUUUUAAACCUAAAAUAGUGAAAAGUCACUCUGAGUUA